rnacentral:rRNA from 1 species
UUUAAAUUGAGAGUUUGAUCCUGGCUCAGGACGAACGCUGGCGGCGUGCCUAACACAUGCAAGUCGAGCGAUGAAACCUUUCGGGGUGGAUUAGCGGCGGACGGGUGAGUAACACGUGGGUAACCUGCCUCAAAGAGGGGAAUAGCCUCCCGAAAGGGAGAUUAAUACCGCAUAAUAUGUUUUGG